CUGGUUUUCGCUUUAGUUGAGUUCUUACUCCACAGCUACUCCUCGGCGGCGACGUGGAGUCGAUUGUCUGCAACCGCUCGCGGUGAUUGUCGGUGAGAUCGCGCCACCCGCUCCCUACGGCGACGCAUUAUUAAAUUCGUAACCGGGCUUCUCCUCCUUCUCCGGAUCGCGAUCUCUUCUUCUCCUUCUUCUUCUCCGCUUCCCCGAGCUCCAUGCUUCCCGCCCUCCCACUACCGCCGCCGCCGCCACCGCCGCCGCCGCCUGAUCGAUCCACAUACAUUUUUGUGAAGUGAUGGAUCAUAAGGCGUGGCUUUGGAAAAAGAAAUCUGCAGAGAAGACCAUUGCAAAUGAUAAAGUUGAGCUUCCCCUAAAGGCAAACGAGGAGCAGCAGGUAGAGGCAGCUUCAACUGAUAAAGCAGAAUUGGAGAAAAAGGAA